rnacentral:lncRNA from 1 species
GCCCAAGGUUAAAAGAAUAAAGUGUUCGGUUCGAGGCUUGAUCGCAAAUCCGUUGAAGGACACUCGCAUCUGAAGAUGACGAGAGUUGAAUGAACUGUGGAUAUGACGGUGGAACGGUCCGAGGUAUGACAAGCUGAGCACACUCAUUGAGGACCUAAAUCGCGUGAUGAUCGCGAACAAAGUUCACGGCAAGAGAAGCCCGUUAGGGCAAGCAUUACCAGUUUGACGCUUGACAAGGUAGGUGGAGGUUUGGAAAGGAAGCGGGUCAAACGAAGCAAAUAAGAAGGAAAAGCAUACUUCGGAUGCGAGGUGAUUGCCAAGAGUGCCCGGAUGAAGAUCAAGCUCGAUGAGGAACCGA